rnacentral:lncRNA from 10 species
CCCCAGAAGCAGUUCCUCUUCCUGCCUCUUCUAUGGAUCUGGGUUUAUUGUUUUUGUUUGUUUGUUUAUUUCUGUCGUUUUCUAGUCAAUUCUCGCGCUUUUGUAUCUUGGUUGUUUUUGACUGACAUUGCCUAGGAAAGCUUGUAAGGAGACUUUGACGUUUUGCAGUGCUGAUAGGAGCGUUCACCUGGAUCCAAUUAGGGAUGAAUUUAUUGGAAACUGGGCUUGCUGCAGUGGUGUGAUCUCUGCUCACUGCAACCUCCGCCUCCCCGGUUCAAGCGAUUCUCCUGUCUCAGCCUCCCGAGUAGCUGGGAUUACAGGUGCACAUCACCACGCCCGGCUAAUUUUUGCAUUUUUAGUAGAGACGAGGUUUCA